GAUGAAGAACGUAGCGAAAUGCGAUAAGUAAUGUGAAUUGCAGAAUUUAGUGAAUCAUCGAAUCUUUGAACGCACAUUGCGCCCACCAGUAUUCUGAUGGGCAUGCCUGUUCGAGCGUCAUUUCAAACCCUCAAGCUCUGCUGCUUAGUGUUGGGGACCGCUGUAAAAUGCGCCCUCUAAAGAAAUUGGCGGAGUUGUUUAGGGCUCUCAGCGUAGUAAUUUUCUCGCUUUAGUGACCUGGCAGCACCUGCCACAGGCCUAUUUUCUCAAGGUUUGACCUCGGAUCAGGUAGGAAUACCCGCUGAACUUAAGCAUAUCAAUAAGCGGAGGA
rnacentral:misc_RNA from 1 species